UUAAAAUGUGUACAAAUGUGUCUUGUUUAACCAUGUGCUUUUUGUAAUGUUUAUCAAGCUAUUAAAUAUCUCACAUUAUAUAUUUAUUAACCAUUAAAAUAAUUGUAUAUUAUUUAUUAUCCAUUCAAAUAAUUGUGGCAAACUGCAAGAAUAAAUUUAUUCAAACUGCAAGAAUUAAAAAGUUUAGAUUUUCUGAUACCAUUUUUGAAAACAAUGAGAACUGUACUACCUGAAAUUCUAGCUAAACUUCAAAAGAAUCCAAAGAAUAUCAGACAUAUUUGCAUUUUAGCUCAUGUUGAUCAUGG